GAAGCUCGUUUUUACAGGUUUUC
rnacentral:miRNA from 1 species